GAUGAAGAACGUAGCGAAAUGCGAUACUUGGUGUGAAUUGCAGAAUCUCGUGAACCAUCGAGUCUUUGAACGCAAGUUGCGCCCGAAGCCAUUAGGCCGAGGGCACGCCUGCCUGGGCGUCACACGUCGUUGCCCCCCCAUCUACUCCUUCGGGAUUGCGGGGGGCGGAUGAUGGCCUCUCGUGCGCCUCGUCGCGCGGUUGGCCUAAAUGCCAAGUCCUCGGCGACGCACGCCACGACAAUCGGUGGUUGCGAAACCUCGGUUGCCUGUCGUGUGCGGUCGUCGCGCAUCGAGGGCUCGAAAAAAUUGCCGGGCUUCGGCUCGACUUUCAACGCGACCCCAGGUCAGGCGGGGUUACCCGCUGAAUUUAAGCAUAUCAAUAAGCGGAGGA
rnacentral:misc_RNA from 1 species